rnacentral:rRNA from 1 species
CUACGGGGCGCACCAGUGAGGAAUAUUGCACAAUGGGGGGAACCCUGAUGCAGCAACGCCGCGUGGAGGAUGACGCAUUUCGGUGUGUAAACUCCUUUUAUAUGUCAAGAAAAUGACGGUAGCAUAUGAAUAAGCACCUGCUAACUCCGUGCCAGCAGCCGCGGUAAUACGGAGGGUGCAAGCGUUAGUCGGAAUCACUGGGCGUAAAGGACGCGUAGGCGGGUUGGAAAGUCAGGUGUGAAAUCCUACAGCUUAACUGUAGAACUGCACUUGAAACUUCUAAUCUAGAGUAUGGGAGGGGGAGAUGGAAUUAGUGGUGUAGGGGUAAAAUCCGUAGAUAUCACUAGGAAUACCUAAAGCGAAGGCGAUCUCCUGGAACAUUACUGACGCUAAGGCGUGAAAGCGUGGGGAGCAAACAGGAUUAGAUACCCGCGUAGUC